AUGGCCUUUAUAAAGAAUACAAUUGAGAGCACCAUUGUGGGCUCCAUUGCAGAGUGCGCUUCAGCUGCGGAGUUGCUGACAAAGAUAAAGAGCCAGUUCACUGGCUCUUCAAAGAUAUAUGCCACCCAGGUGUUAAAACAACUUGUGAAGGAACAAUACACAGGUGGUGGAAUAAGAGAGCACAUCUUGAGGAUGAGCAAUAUGGCAGCAAAGUUAAAGCCUAUGGACGAGGAUCUGAAGAUCAAAUCAAAGCUCCUGGUCCACCUUGUCAUGGCUUCACUGCCAAAGGAGUUUGAAACUUUUGUUGUGAAUUAUAAUAUGUCACCUGGAACAUGGGACAUAGAAAAGACAAUUGCUAUGUGUGUCCAAGAAGAGGACAGACUAAAAGCUUCACAUGGUGGAACACUCAACUAUGUGAAGGAUCAUAAGAAAAAGAACUACAAUCAAAACAACAAAAUUUCUCCUUCAAAGCCACAAGGAAAAGCUCCCUAUCAGCAUCAGCGUCAGCAACAGUCUUUCCCAGUGGACAAAGACACUUGUCUCCACUGUAAGCAGACCGGGCAUUACAAGAAAGACUGCCCUGUUUGGCUGAAGUCCUUAAUGGUAAAGCAAGGAAUUCCAUUCGACCCGGACUACGCUAAGAAGAGAAGGAGGCAUUGA
rnacentral:rRNA from 1 species